CAUCUCGUCGUUCUCCAGAGGGAGCGCUAGCCGGACAUCGUGACGCUGCAGGGAAUGAGCCCAAAGUGGUCCCUCCAAGCCCUGCCGUCCAGCCCAGGACUCUCUCAAGUCCCCGAUGAUCUUAUGCUCCUCAGCAUUGUCAGGAGUGAGCUGAAUUCAGACUUACUGAGGUCCCUCAGCCUAUGGGCCAGGGAGACUUUGAGCAACAGGGGCUUUUGUCUCGGAGCGGUCAUUCCUUGUUGUACAAGCAAGAGCUUGGAGGAAGGAUGGUUUGGGCAUCAUCCCCCACUGGUAGCAGUGGAGCCUGUAGGCCUGCAGGGAAGGACCAGGCUGAGGCUGGCAUAUGGAGGGAGAGCCCUGGGCACAGGGGCAUGAGCCUCACCCGGCCAGGGCUACCUUCUGCCGGGUUUGUCCAUCUGGCACCAGCUGGCUUUCCAGCGCGGCCCCCACAGCCAACCGGACUCCUUCUGCUUCUGUUGCCAUAGCAACUGGCUGCCAUCUUGUACUCAGGGCACUAUCUCCUAUCUGGAUUUUCCCAUGGGGUUCCUGGAGGAUGGGACGUAGGUCUCCAGCGAUGUAUCCCUUCCUCCUGAUAGCCAUCCAAUAAGAAUGGCCACGAUGGGGGCCAACGACAUGUCAGGCUCUAUGCUAAGUACUCCCUGUGUGUUAUUUAAUACGGCAGAGAAAGCAUCCAUGUGAUCAAUUUAAAAGGUUCCCAGUUUCUCGUUUCUAUGACAGACCUUUCCUCUCUCCAACCAGGAAACACCACGAUCUUGCUUAUUCUGUCUUGCAAGGUCCUUCCCAGUGUCUGACUGAGACCUGUUCUGCUGAAGUACCAGUUCUCUGACCCUGGGCUUGACAUGGCUAAUUUGAGAGGGCCUCUGGGAGCCAGCCCGGGUCAGGACGAGCGCCAGGAGAAGUCGGAGGCCUCGAGGAGCCCAAGUUCGAGGGAGACAAGUCUUUCCCUUUGGGGAGCUACCAGUACAAUGGGUGCUGAGGCUCCUAGGUCUCCCCACCCCAGGAAGGAAGGGGCUGACCUCGAUUCCACAACCACUUGCUCACGCGAGCCCUCUCGCAGCCGUCUUCUCUGUCAAUCUGCUGACAGGCCUGGAGUGGCUCUGUCCCCCGCUUGGCAAAGCUGCAGUCAGGGCCCCACGAAGGAUGUGUGGGUCACCCCGCGUCACGGGGCUGACCGAAAAGAAGGACUUAUUGUACCCAGCUGGCAUGGGUUCCCUCUGAGAAGCCCUCCUGGAUUGAUCGAAGUGGCAAGACCCCAGCUCCAGCCUGGGCUGCCCGUUACACCCGGAGCCACCCGGGAGAGGACUUCGUCCCACCCUUGCUCCCGUGGCCACCGCUGUCCACCCUGGUCCAUCCCAGUUCCUGUGGCGUCCGAGCUGAGAGUCCUCUGAGAUGGCGGUCCCGUCUCAGAUCUAAUAAAGACUGCUGAAUGUUGAA